CCAUGGGAGUGGGUUGCACCAGAAGUAGCUAGUCUAACCUUCGGGGGGACGGUUACCACGGUGUGAUUCAUGACUGGGGUGAAGUCGUAACAAGGUAGCGGUAGGGGAACCUGCGGCUGGAUCACCUCCUUAAUCGACGAC
rnacentral:rRNA from 1 species